rnacentral:rRNA from 1 species
CCUACGGGAGGCAGCAGUGGGGGAUAUUGGACAAUGGGGGAAACUCUGAUCCAGCGACGCCGCGUGAGUGAAGAAGUAUUUCGGUACGUAAAGCUCUAUCAGCAGGGAAGAAAAUGACGGUACCUGACUAAGAAUCACCGGCUAACUACGUGCCAGCAGCCGCGGUAAUACGUAGGGGGCAAGCGUUAUCCGGAUUUACUGGGUGUAAUGGGAGCGUAGACGGCUGCACAAGUCUGGAGUGAAAUCCCGGGGCUUAACCCCGGAACUGCUUUGGAAACUGUGCGGCUGGAGUGCAGGAGGGGUAAGUGGAAUUCCUAGUGUAGCGGUGGAAUGCGUAGAUAUUAGGAGGAACAUCAGUGGCGAAGGCGGCUUACUGGAAUGUAACUGACGUUGAGGCUCGAAAGCGUGGGGAGCAAACAGGAUUAGAUACCCCAGUAGUC